rnacentral:rRNA from 1 species
AUUGAACGCUGGCGGCAGGCCUAACACAUGCAAGUCGAGCGGAGCGGCCGACGGAUGAGUAAUGACUAGGUAUCGGUCUGCUAGUGGGGGAUAAAGUCCGGAUACGGGCGCUAAUAACGCCUAUUAUCAGAUGAGCGUAGGUAGGAUGAGCUAGUUGGUGGGGUAAAGGCUUACCAAGGCGACGAUCCGGAACUGGUCUGAGAGGAUGAUCAGUCACACUGGAACUGAGACACGGUCCAGACUCCUACGGGAGGCAGCAGUGGGGAAUAUUGGACAAUGGGCGAAAGCCUGAUGCAGCCAUGCCGCGUGUGUGAAGAAGGUCUUCGGAUUGUAAAGCACUUUAAGUUGGGAGGCGUUACCAACAGAAGAAGCACCGGCUAACUUCGUGCCAGCAGCCGCGGUAAUAC